UACAGAGGGGGCAAGCGUCGUUCGGAAUUACUGGGCGUAAAGGGCGCGUAGGCGGCCAUCUAAGUCGAACGUGAAAUCCCCGGGCUCAACCCGGGAACUGCGUCCGAUACUGGUUGGCUUGAAUCCGGGAGAGGGAUGCGGAAUUCCAGGUGUAGCGGUGAAAUGCGUAGAUAUCUGGAGGAACACCGGUGGCGAAGGCGGCAUCCUGGACCGGCAUUGACGCUGAGGCGCGAAAGCCAGGGGAGCAAACGGG
rnacentral:rRNA from 1 species